GACGAUGUAGCCAAGUGGUUACGGCGAUUGAUUAGAAAUCAAUUCCUCUUUGAGGGCGUAGGUUCGAAUCCUGCCAUCGUCG
rfam:Sphaerobolus stellatus SS14 unplaced genomic scaffold SPHSTscaffold_135, whole genome shotgun sequence.